rnacentral:rRNA from 1 species
UGGGGAAUUUUGGACAAUGGGGGCAACCCUGAUCCAGCAAUGCCGCGUGAGUGAAGAAGGCCUUCGGGUUGUAAAGCUCUUUUGUCAGGGAAGAAACGGUGCGAGCUAAUAUCUCGUGCUAAUGACGGUACCUGAAGAAUAAGCACCGGCUAACUACGUGCCAGCAGCCGCGGUAAUACGUAGGGUGCAAGCGUUAAUCGGAAUUACUGGGCGUAAAGCGUGCGCAGGCGAUUUUGUAAGACUGUCGUGAAAUCCCCGGGCUCAACCUGGGAAUGGCGAUGGUGACUGCAAGGCUAGAGUUUGGCAGAGGGGGGUAGAAUUCCACGUGUAGCAGUGAAAUGCGUAGAUAUGUGGAGGAACACCGAUGGCGAAGGCAGCCCCCUGGGUCAAAACUGACGCUCAUGCACGAAAGCGUGGGGAGCAAACAGGAUUAGAUACCCUGGCAGUCCACGCCCUAAACGAUGUCUACUAGUUGUCGGGUUUUAAUUAACUUGGUAACGCAGCUAACGCGUGAAGUAGACCGCCUGGGGAGUACGGUCGCAAGAUUA